ACCUGCCCGAACGGAAACCUUAUCCAGACCCGCACUUCGUCGUCUCCCUCAACAUUGCAAAACCUCGCCGCCUCCCACGCCACCUCCACCUCUUCUCAUGAGCGAGAGCCGGCCGGAAGGAAGGGUGAUAAGUCUUGCUGGAUAAUUGAUACAGCCAUGGAUCUCAGACAAGUGGAACUUGUCAGGAUAUAAUGUUCUUGGUUGUGCUUCAGCCAACUUUGAAAUGAGGAUGUGAGAAAUCAUAUAAUGGGCGCAGUUUGUGAAAUACUAGCAAAAUCCGAAGAUCUGGAGAUCCAACAGGCAAUAUUCGAAUGCCUUGCUAAAAUUGCAUCCACAUAUUAUAUGCUGUUACAACCUUAUUUGAGAACCAUACUUAGUCUGACAGAAUCAAUUGCACCCCAAUGUAUGGUGUUCUGGUGCACUGUUUGUAAGGAAGUGAUUAAACUCCGAGAAGAACAACACAUUGGCGCUGUCGAUGCUAACUCUAAAUAUUGUUGCUUUAUUUAUGAGGCCCUCGAGUUACAUGUUCCAGUGCUGCUAAAGCAUCUGUUCAAGCGAGAGAAAGAUCAGGAAGGACUAGUUCGAAUGCUGCUACAACAUCUGUUCAAUCAAGAGGAAGAUCAAGACGGACUAGUUCCAAUGCCACUAGAGCAUCUGCUCAUGCAAGAGGAAGAUCAAGGAGAUGAUGUCAUGCAAGAGGAAGAUCAAGGAGAUGAUGUCAUGCAAGAGGAAGAUCAAGAAGGAGAUGAUUGUCUUCUGAACAUUGACAUCGACUGUGUGACUCUUCUAGGCCUCAUUGCUAGAACUAUCAGGGAUGCAAUUGUCCCCCUUGUGAUGCAAUGUAUUGAGGGUAACAUUAAAGAGCCAGAUUGGCAUAGUCGCAUGGCCGCUGUUUCUGCAAUUGGUUUUAUCCUUGAAGGCCCUUCUGUUAAGGGACUCGCUCCACUGCUUGAUUUGUUGCUCGACAAGAUGGAAGAUCCAAACAGCAAGGUAAAAGGAACCACUGCAUGGAUUCUUGGCCGGAUGUUUAAGCUUCUGCAUUUUCCGGCAAGUGCAAAUGGAAUUAUAACGAAAGCAAACCUUCCUCGCAUCAUGGAUGUGUUGGUACACUGUAGUAAAGAUAUUCCAAUUGUGUCCGAAAAAGUAUGCGGAGCUAUAUAUUUUCUUGCCCGAGGUUACGAAGAUGCAGAGUCAAUGCCAUCUGAGCUUUCAUUGUCUCUUGAUCGUGUUAUUGAUGCUCUCCUUUCUGCUUCACAACCUUCUGAUGAGACCCCUUUCAGGCUUGGAGCGUCUGCCUAUGAAGCAUUGUGUGCAGUUGUGAGAGUCAGCAAUUUAGAACAACCUGUUGUUUGGAGCGCUAUAGGAGAUUUAAUGCAUCGUAUCAUGAAAAGAUUGGAUAUGACGCUUGAUCGCCAAGCACUUACUUUGGGUCAUAAGUUGAAGAAAAACAAUCUUCAGAUUGUGCUGUGUGGUGUACUGCAGGUCAUCGUCCAGAAACUGGCCAAUUCAGCUACAGUGAAGAUAGUUACGAACGCUGCUCAUCAUUUGUUGUUUUCUUUUUGCCGUGUCUUGGUUUGUGACAGUUCUACCGCACAGAGUGAAGCAAUGUCUUGGUUUGCCAUUGCUGCUCUUGCUAAUGCCACCGGUCCAGGGUUUGGGAAACAUAUGCCUAUACUCAUGCAGGUACUUGAUGCUCACCCACUCUCCCCCAUCUCUGUAGGAGUGAUCGGCGAUAUCUGCCUUGCCUUGGAAGGUAAAAUAUUGCCACACUGUGAUAAAAUUAUGCAAGUUCUGUACAAAGGUCUUUCUAAGUCGACUCUCAGAGCUCCAAUUUUCUCAUGCUUUGGAGACAUUGCUCUUGCUAUUAGCAAUGAUUUUGAGAAGUACCUGCAGUAUGUUCUGGAAAAGCUUCAAGAAGCUGCUAACUCACAGGACUGGGCUGAUGUUCAAGAAGAGGACAAGACUGAAUAUGUGAACCAGCUUAGACAGGGAAUAUAUAAGGCAUACUCUGGCAUACUACGGGGUAUAAAGGACCCAAGAAUUGGGUUUAAGGUAGCAACCCAUCUAUUUAAAUUCAUGGAAGCUGUCUGGGUAGACCGGAGCAGGGAUAAAAGUGUGAUGCAUGCUGCUGUUGCUGUUUUGACCGAUUUUGAUUUGACAAUUGGGUCAUGGACAGAAGAAAUGACUAAGGAAUUGCAUAACUAACUAUUAUGAUUUCAUCUGAAGCAGAUGCAUAUCCGGAACUCUGCUCCAAAAUGUACUCGUUAUGCUGAUUUCUCUAAUGGAAAUCGGAGGGGAAAUCCUCUUUUGCUCAAAAGAAAAUCUGAAGCAGAUGCACCGCUUGCUAUUAUAUGUCAACUUUGCUGUAGGCCUUCCGAUGACGUGCGUUCAGCGGGAGGAGAUGUCCCUGUCGACUACGAUGGAGUCUGGCGAUUUUGUCAAUCUAAGAUGAUGUGCUGGCUCAGUCUCUCGGUGGUGCUCAUAAGGAUAUGGGUGUGUGUGUGCGUGCGUUCAUAAGGGUGAGUAUAUGUGUAUGUACGAGUAUAUGUGUAAAAAAACAUAAUCUUUGUUCUUGAUUUUUGAAAA